ACGGCUGGGUUAUUUUUUAACCCAAAAUGCUGGGUUGAGUCUGUUGGGUCAUUUUGUUGGGUUAUUUAAUUUCUUUUUAAACACUUUUGGGUAGUUUCAUUUUACCAGGUGUUGGGUUAAACCUGCAGGGUUGCGUCGCUGGGUUGUUUCAGGCCAGCGCUGGGUUAUUUAACGCGCCUUGAAGAUGUUUAAAUCGCUCCCCAACUGUCACUUUGGAAGAACAACGGGGCAAAGCCACGGCUUUCAACUGUUUUAAGAAAAGCGCAUGGAUACAUUUGUGAGAGAAAAACUCGUCGAGUGCAGUCUUAUUGAGGCGUCUAACGGUUGGAACAAACAUGGAAUUCCUUAACUGAGCAGAGUCCACAAAACCCCAUCCAAUUGUCGUGGCGAUUUAAAAAUGACAGCAGAUCUCUCAGGCAUUGAUCAUAAUCAAUGGACAGGUCACCGUAGCCACCCGUAUCCAGUACAUAUCCAGACCAGAUGGAGAUCAUCAUCUAGAAAGGACCUCUACAUCCCUGAAAGACAGCGGAGACCAGGACAACUAGAGCCCCAGAUACAGAUCCCCUGUAAAGACCUUGUCUCAGAGGAGCACCAGGACAAGACCACAGGAAACAGAUGAUUCUUCUGCACAAUCUGACUUCGCUGCAGCCUGGAAUUGAACUACUGGUUUUGUCUGGUCAGAGGAGAACUGACCCCAACUGAGCCUGGUUUCUCCCAAGGAUUUUUCUCCAUUCUGUCAUCGAUGGAGUUUUGGUUCCUUGUUUUUCUUUAGUUGGGGACAAUUAAUAUCAAGCGAUAUCAUCCACUUGAUUGCACAGAGGGACGAUACAUCACUGAAUCAAUGACGAAUUGACUUUAACUGAAAACUGAGUGUUUACUGUUGUCCCUUUGCAUUAUUACACACUAUUUUCCUAUUUAAUACUGUAAAGCUGCUAUGAUGCAGUAUUUGAUCAAUAUGACAGGCUUAUUACUCAUAAUACAUGGAAAAUACAGCUACAAACUGACUUUGUUUUUCCAUUUGAAAUUUGGCAGUCACUGUGCAUUCAUGAAAACUGAAACCGUAAUUUUUGUUCAGUGUUUUUGAAACAGUAUUUUUGUUCAAGAUUUGCAAUUGUGUUUGGAUUGUCACAAUUUGUCACAUGUGGAAAACGCAAUUGAAAAUAUAAUUAGCAAUUCCUUUUGAAAAUUGUCCUUCCAUAGACAGGCUCUAUAACGAAGUACACUGCUCUCAGGUGUAGAUCUUUGCUUCAGAGCUUAAGUGUUUGACAAUAGUUCACCCAAAAAUGAAAAUUGUCACUAAUUAUACACCCUGGUCUGAAAGCUCUCGAAUAUCAACGAAAAUAUCUUAACUUGUGUUCUGAAGAUGAACAAAGGUCUUACGGGUUUGUAACGGCAUGAAGUUGAUUAAUAAAUGACAGAAUUUUAAUUUUUGGGUGAACUAUAUGUUGAACUACCCUAAGCACUGCACAUCUACCUACGUAGGAGUCUUUAUAUACUUGAUAUAAAUUUAAGGACAUCUUUAAAUGAUUUUACAUUUAAAUUUAAAGAAUGUUAAUUGUCAAUGUCAUUUCACUGUGUAUUUAAAUAGCUAAAUAUGUCAAAAUGUAAUAGUUCAACAGCUAGACAGGUCAUUCAGAUAUAAUUUUCUUAUUUAUUGCAACUGUAUUUCUGUGAUUUUUAUUUAUUUAUUUUGCAUUUGCUGGAAACAAAAAAAGGGAAAAUUCCAUGUUGUUUGUCAUUGGUACAAAUUUUUUUAUGUCAGAUGGCAUUAAAAAUAUUUUUUAACAGUCUAAAUAACCUGUAUUCUUCAUUAUUUAUUAAUCCAUGAUUGCUUUAUUAAGCAAAAGUGAAAUUAUGAGAAUAACCCAGCAAGAAUAACCCAGAAUCAUAAAAAUGCAAACCCACAAAUGGUAAAAAUGACUCUAUCUUGGGUUUUCUCAAUAACCCAGCAUGCUGGGUUAAAAUGUGUAAACCAGCAUGCUGGGUUACUUUAACCCAGCACGUGUUCUGUCCAAUAUUUACCCAGUGCUGGGUUGCCAAUUGGGUUAUUUUUAACCCAGCCAUUUUUAG